rnacentral:rRNA from 1 species
CGCGUAUGGCUCAUUAUAACAGCUAAAAUUUACUUGAUUUUGACUUUUAUCCUACAUGGAUAACUGUGGUAAUUCUGGAGCUAAUACAUGCAUAAAAGAUAUAACAUUUAUWUGUUWUAUUGCGUAUAUUAGUAUUAAAACCAAGCAUUCUUCGGAAUGUUUUGUGUUGAAACUGAAUAUAUCAUGCUGAUCGUAUGGUCUUGUACCGACGACAUGUCAUUCAAGUGUCUGAUCUAUCAACUUUCUAUAUAAGUAUAUAGUACUUAUAUGGUUUUGACGGAUAACGGGGUAUUAGGGUACGACUCCGGAGAAAAUGCCUGAGAAACGGCGUUUACAUCCAAGGAAGGCAGCAGGCGCGAAAAUUACCCACUCUCAGUACGAGGAGGUAGUGACGAGAAAUGACAAGAUCUAUUCCUUCGGGGAUGGAUCAUUGGAAUGGUUUGAUUUUAAAAUCAUUAAAGAGUAUCAAUGAGAGGGCAAGUCUGGUGCCAGCAGCCGCGGUAAUUCCAGCUCUCAUACUGCAUUGAAUUGUUGUUGCGGUUAAAAAGCUCGUAGUUGGAUCUGUACAUGAUAGGUUAGUUCAUCCUUUGGAUUGUAACUAAUACUAAAUGUUUUUU